rnacentral:sRNA from 1 species
CCCAGGGUUUACACCCUGGGCUAGGUAGCGUCGCCACUUCGUGGCU